UCGAGGGGUAUAGUAGCAAUACUAGUGACCGGCGCACGGGCGCGUAACGCGUAUGCAAUCUACCUUUUACAGAGGGAUAGCCCAGAGAAAUUUGGAUUAAUACCUCAUAGUAUAGUGAGUUGGCAUCAACACACUAUUAAAGUCACAACGGUAAAAGAUGAGCAUGCGUCCCAUUAGCUAGUUGGUAAGGUAACGGCUUACCAAGGCGACGAUGGGUAGGGGUCCUGAGAGGGAGAUCCCCCACACUGGUACUGAGACACGGACCAGACUCCUACGGGAGGCAGCAGUGAGGAAUAUUGGACAAUGGGCGCAAGCCUGAUCCAGCCAUGCCGCGUGCAGGAAGACGGUCCUAUGGAUUGUAAACUGCUUUUGUACAGGAAGAAACACUCCCUCGUGAGGGAGCUUGACGGUACUGUAAGAAUAAGGAUCGGCUAACUCCGUGCCAGCAGCCGCGGUAAUACGGAGGAUCCAAGCGUUAUCCGGAAUCAUUGGGUUUAAAGGGUCCGUAGGCGGUUUGGUAAGUCAGUGGUGAAAGCCCAUCGCUCAACGGUGGAACGGCCAUUGAUACUGCCAGACUUGAAUUAUUAGGAAGUAACUAGAAUAUGUAGUGUAGCGGUGAAAUGCUUAGAGAUUACAUGGAAUACCAAUUGCGAGGGCAGGUUACUACUAAUGGAUUGACGCUGAUG
rnacentral:rRNA from 1 species